rnacentral:SRP_RNA from 1 species
GCCGGGCUUGGUGGCGAGUGCCUGUAGUCCCAGCUAUUUGGGAGGCUAAGGCUGGAGGAUCUAGCUUGAGUCCAGGAGUUCUGGGCUGUAGUGCGCUAUGCCGGGUGUCCGCACUAAGUUCGGCAUCAAUAUGGUGAUCUCCCAUGAGCCGGGGACCACCAGGUUGCCUAAGGAGGGGUGAAUGGGCCCAAGUCGGAAAUGGAGCAGGUCAAAACUCCCGUGCUGAUCAGUAGUGGGAUCGGGCCUGUGAAUAGCCACUGCACUCCAGCCUGGGCAACAUAGCGAGAUCCAGUCUCU